rnacentral:rRNA from 1 species
UACGUAGGGGGCUAGCGUUGUCCGGAAUCAUUGGGCGUAAAGAGCGUGUAGGCGGCCAGAAAAGUCCGCUGUGAAAACUCGAGGCUCAACUUCGAGCUGUCGGUGGAAACUUUCUGGCUAGAGUCCGGAAGAGGAGAAUGGAAUUCCUGGUGUAGCGGUGAAAUGCGCAGAUAUCAGGAGGAACACCAAUGGCGAAGGCAGCUCACUGGGACGGUAUUGACGCUGAGACGCGAAAGCGUGGGGAGCAAACAGG